rnacentral:misc_RNA from 1 species
CUGUUGUUUAUGAAACACAAGAAAUACUUCAAGAAGGUAGAAGGCCUACUUAUUAACUUUGAGGUUAAUGUUUAGAGAAAAGUAGUUUUGUCCGGUGCCCGCUUCCUGCUAUUUAUUGCAAUUAUUGUGAAUAAACGGAGUAAUGCAAGUUCGUGACUGAGUGUAUAAUUCUUAUUUACUCUAGACACUUAAGUGGUUUCACCAGGUUGAGAACAUUUUGUCAGUUUAUAUUAAUAAGUAAUAAUAUUGUUUUACUUACAGAAGAGGUGCAAAUAACAUUAAAAUGGGCGAAUUAAACGACGAAAAACUCAAAAUGAUGGAAGAUGAAAUGAACAGGUUUGAGGAGGAGAUUGGAUUACCUAAUCUACCCCUACCUCCAAGUUCUCCGAGUAUACCUGUACAGACUGUUAUUGGUGCAAAUACUUUUAGCCAAGUACAGGCACAAUUGAGAAAAAUCGAAAAUGAACCUGGGUCCAUUGUGCCACCUCCUCCACCUCCACCACCGCCAAUGUUUGUACCACCCCAAGUUCAAAGAAUGGGACCACCGAUGAACAUGUCAAUGGAUGGUUCUGGACCUCCUCCAAUGCCACCUAUGCCUUUUGGUCCUCCACGUGGCUUCCCUAUGCCUGGUCCGAUGGGAUUUGGACCUCCAAUGGGACCAAUGCCACCAAUGGGUCCAGGUCCAGGAGGACCAAGACCUAUGCCACAUAUGGGACCACCGGGUGGUCCAAUGGGUCCUAACCCCAUGGGACCUGGUGGGCCAAUGGGUCCUAUGGGACCUGGUAUGGGUCCAAUGGGUCCUGGCCCAGGACACAUGGGUCCUGGUGGUCCAAUGGGACAUAUGGGUCCUAGAAUGGGUCCAAUUGGUCCAGGAGGCCCAGGAAUGGGACCAGGUGGGCCUCCUGCAGGACCGAUAAACCCAAUGGGACCACCAGGUUCAGGUCCUAUGAUGGGACCGGGUCCUGGUUUCAUCCCUCCACCUCCUGAAUUUGUCCAGGCUAAAGUUCAGUCUUCUCAAGGACCAGUUGUUGUGAGUAGGGCACCAAAAAAAUACAGUGCCAGUGGGGUAGAAGAAUCCAUGAAACCUGUUACUGUGGGACCAGAAUACCCAGCGGAGUUGGCAGAAGAAAAGAAAAGCAAGAAACAAAAGUCUAGUGCAAAAGAAAUGGCAGAAAAAGUAAAAGCUUCAGCAGUGGUGUCGGUAGUACAUGAACAAGGAUCUCAACAGCAACCCAACCAAAAGAAAAAGGAUAAGAAGAAUAAAAAGUUCAUCAGGACUGCAGGAGGUCAAACUUGGGAAGAUGCUUCAUUAAUGGAGUGGGAAGAAGAUGACUUCAGACUGUUUUGUGGUGACUUGGGGAAUGACGUUACGGAUGAAGUGUUAACCCGAGCCUUCAGCAAGUAUACCUCGUUUUUGAAGGCAAAGGUUGUACGAGACAAACGGACAAACAAGACAAAAGGCUUUGGUUUUGUCAGCUUUAAAGACCCGCAGGACUUCAUCCGUGCUACAAAGGAGAUGAACGGUUGUUCAGAUCGUUUGAAAAGUUAUGGAUGUUGAGCCCAAAAGAAAAGUCAAUGAGCCGAGUAUGGAUAUUGUGAUGGAUGUGUGAAUACAUACAUGAUAAAGUCAAUAGAGGACUGUAAAGUACAACCGUGUGAGAACUAAACUUCCAGAUGGACGAUAUGUGGGGAGCAGACCAAUCAAAUUGCGCAAGAGCUCUUGGAGGAACAGGAGUCUUGAUGUUGUUCGGAAGAAAGAUAAAGAGAAAGCUGCUCUGAUAGGACUCCUAACAGGACGUACUUGACUUGCUACACCUCAGUGUUCAUUCACCCUUGUAUAUAUUGUCAAUAAAGUAAUUUAUUUAAGUAAA